rnacentral:rRNA from 1 species
GAGCGAAAUUCCUUGGCCAUUAACUGUGGUCCUGCAUGAAUGAGGUAACGUGGCCCUGCUGUCUCCACAAGCAUCUCAGUGAAAUUGAAUUAGCCGUGCAGAUGCGGUUUACCUUCAGAUAGACGGGAAGACCCUAUGCAGCUUUACUGUAGUUUGAUAGUAUCAUACGGUCAGUUUAACUGGGACGGUAGCCUCUAAUAAAGUAUCAGAGGCCUUCAAAGGUAUGCAUAAAUUGGUCAGAAACCAAUAAAUCUAUGAAAAGUUUAAUAAAGUGUAAUGAUAGAAGCAUGCUUUACUGAAAGACUGACAAGUCAAUCAGUUACGCAAGUAGGACAUAGUGAUCCGGUGGUUCGAUAUGGAACGGCCAUCGCUCAAGGAAUAAAAGUUACGCUAGGGAUUAAAUAAACCUAGUCCCACUAAUAUUUUAUUAGUAAAAUAAUCAGGUGAAUUGCAAAAAUACUAAGUAAUAUAUAAUAAUAAUUACAUAGUUAAUUUGCAGCGAAACUAAAAAAUAAUAAUUUAAUUUUUAGAACGUUCAACGACUACAAAAUAAACAAUUUUGCAAGAGUGCCUGACAUAUUUUAAUAUAUUCAGUAAUUUAAAUAAUAUAUAUUUAUUGUAUAUAAUAAUUAUAUGAAGACAUAGUCUAAACAUUAAUGUAAAUUAAUGAUACAAAAUUAAAUUUUUUUGUAAAUAAAUAAUUUUGAACAGGUUUAUCGUUUGCGAGAGUUCAUAUUGUCCAAACGGUUUGACACCUCGAUUAAAACAGUCAUAGUCGAGAAUAAAUUGGGUUAAUUGCAAGAAAAUCUUUAUAAUUAUGAAUAAAUCUUAAAUUAAAGAUAAUUUGCAACCAAACUUAGGAAAGUAUAAAAAAAAAGGUACUAAGAAGGUUAAACGACUAGUAAGUGAGUAAUACUAACAAUAAUCUUACCACGAAUGCCCAACAAGUAAAAUUAUUACAUAAAUAAUUAUAUUUAUUAAUUUAUUGUAUAAUUACUUGAUAACAUAGUCUAAUACUGUAAGUAAUUACAGUCUAGUAAGUAUAAAUAACUUACUUUACUUUAAUAUUACUGUUUAUAUAUUCGAACUUAUUUAUUUCGUUUAUUUACAUUUAAUAUUAAUAAAAAUGGUCGACUCAUCUCAUCCUCCAGGUGUAGUAGCUUGGAAGGGUUCAACUGUUCGCUGAUUAAAGAGGUACGCGAGUUGGGUUC